UACGAAGGGGGCUAGCGUUGCUCGGAUUGACUGGGCGUAAAGGGCGCGUAGGCGGUUCGUACAGUCAGACGUGAAAUUCCUGGGCUCAACCUGGGGGCUGCGUUUGAUACGUGCGGACUUGAGUGCGGAAGAGGGUCGUGGAAUUCCCAGUGUAGAGGUGAAAUUCGUAGAUAUUGGGAAGAACACCGGUGGCGAAGGCGGCUCACUGGCCCGGUACUGACGCUGAGGUGCGAAAGCGUGGGGAGCAAACAGG
rnacentral:rRNA from 1 species